rnacentral:rRNA from 1 species
GACGAACGCUGGCGGCGUGCUUAACACAUGCAAGUCGAACGGAAAGGCCCUGCUCUUGUGGGGUGCUCGAGUGGCGAACGGGUGAGUAACACGUGAGUAACCUGCCCUUGACUUUGGGAUAAAUUCAGGAACUGGGGCUAAUACCGGAUAGGAGCUCCUGCUGCCUGGUGGGGGUUGGAAAGUUCCGGCGGUUGGGGAUGGAUAGGCGGCUAAUCAGCUCGCUGGUGAGGGAGUGGCUUACGAAGGCUUUGACGGGUAGCCGGCCUGAGAGGGUGAACGGGCACAAGGGGACUAAGGUACGGACCAGACGGCAACGGGAGGCAACGGGGGGAAAUAUUACGCAAUAGGCGGAAGCCUGAUACAGCAGCGCCGCGUUCGGGAUAACGGCCUUCGGGUUGUAAACCACUUUCGCCGGUAACAAAGCGGGAGUGACGGUAAUUAAUAAAAAAGCACCGGCUAACUACGUG